rnacentral:rRNA from 1 species
AGCAGCCGCGGUAAUUCCAGCUCCAAUAGCGUAUAUUAAAGUUGUUGCAGUUAAAAAGCUCGUAGUUGAAUUUUAGACCUGACCGGGCGGUCCGUCUCUGGCGAGUACUGUCUGUUGUCGGGUCUAUCCUUCUGGUGAGCCGGUAUGCCCUUUAUUGGGUGUGUCGGGGAACCAGGACCAUUUACCUUGAAAAAAUUAGAGUGUUUAAAGCGGGCUUUUGCUUGAAUAGAUUAGCAUGGAAUAAUAGAAUAGGACGUUGGUUCUAUUUUGUUGGUCUAGGACCACCGUAAUGAUUAAUAGGGAUAGUUGGGGGCAUUAGUAUUCAAUUGUCAGAGGUGAAAUUCUUGGAUUUAUUGAAGACUAACUACUGCGAAAGCAUUUGCCAAGGAUGUUUUCAUUAAUCAAGAACGAAAGUUAGGGGAUCGAAGACGAUCAGAUACCGUCGUAGUCUUAACCAUAAACUAUGCCGACUAGGAAUCGGGCGACGUUAUUCUCAUGACUCGCUCGGCGCCUUAUGGGA